rnacentral:rRNA from 1 species
UACGUAGGUGACAAGCGUUGUCCGGAUUUACUGGGCGUAAAGAGCGCGCAGGCGGUCGAUCAAGUCGAGUGUGAAAGCCCCCGGCUCAACUGGGGAGGGUCAUUCGAUACUGAUCGACUCGAAGGCAGGAGAGGGUAGUGGAAUUCCCGGUGUAGCGGUGAAAUGCGCAGAUAUCGGGAGGAACACCUAUGGCGAAAGCAGCUCUCUGGGACGGUACUGACGCUGAGACGCGAAAGCGUGGGGAGCGAACAGG